UACGUAGGGUGCAAGCGUUAAUCGGAAUUACUGGGCGUAAAGCGCACGUAGGCGGCUUUGCAAGUUAGAGGUGAAAGCCCGGGGCUCAACCCCGGAAUUGCCUUUAAAACUGCAUCGCUAGAAUUGUGGAGAGGUAAGUGGAAUUCCGAGUGUAGAGGUGAAAUUCGUAGAUAUUCGGAAGAACACCAGUGGCGAAGGCGACUUACUGGACACAUAUUGACGCUGAGGUGCGAAAGCGUGGGGAGCAAACAGG
rnacentral:rRNA from 1 species